AGUAGUUUGAUCAGUGGCUACGAGACGAACGCUGGCGGCGUGCUUAACACAUGCAAGUCGAACGGUGACCCAGGGCUUGCCCUGGUGAUCAGUGGCGAACGGGUGAGUAACACGUGGGCAACCUGCCCCUGACUUCGGGAUAACUCCUCGAAAGAGGAGCUAAUACCGGAUACGACCACUUCGGACAUCCGAUGGUGGUGGAAAGUUUUUCGGUCAGGGAUGGGCCCGCGGCCUAUCAGCUAGUUGGUGGGGUAAUGGCCUACCAAGGCGACGACGGGUAGCCGGCCUGAGAGGGCGACCGGCCACACUGGGACUGAGACACGGCCCAGACUCCUACGGGAGGCAGCAGUGGGGAAUAUUGCGCAAUGGGCGAAAGCCUGACGCAGCGACGCCGCGUGAGGGAUGAAGGCCUUCGGGUUGUAAACCUCUUUCAGCAGGGACGAAGCGAAAGUGACGGUACCUGCAGAAGAAGCGCCGGCUAACUACGUG
rnacentral:rRNA from 1 species